AAGAAUGAAUUUUUUCUCAGAUCCCCGACACGAGAGCUCAGCAUGGCUUACACCGUGAUUUCAGCCAGCCUUGUGAUAUUCUGAGUAGAGAACUUGGCCAUUCUGUGCUGGACUUCUGACCUACAGAACUGGGUAACUGCAAUAGCAUCAUCAUCUCUCCGUGGUCAAGCAGAAGGAUGGAGCAAAGGGAUAAGUUUGCUCUUUGCUCGGAAAUCCUGGACUGUGCAGAAACAUGAAAAUAUUUGUGGACAACUUCUUCCAACAGUUACCACAUGGGAAAAGACAUGGAACCUUGGAGUGCUACUUGUAUUUAAGGAACAUGUUUCAGUGCUG
rnacentral:lncRNA from 1 species